rnacentral:tRNA from 1 species
AAAGAGAUGACAGAAUCAAUGUACCUGGCUUGAAACCAGAAAGACGGAAGUUAAAACCUUCCUCUCUUUU